rnacentral:misc_RNA from 1 species
AAAGUCGUAACAAGGUAACCGUAGGUGAACCUGCGGUUGGAUCAUUAACGAACUAUGAAGGUGAUUGUGUGGCAGCCUCUGAGCUGCCCCUUUCACACUCAUAUCCACCUUUAGUGUAAUGUUUCCUGUAUUUUGGCGGUCCACAAACAUGGGAGUUUGAAUUUCGGUUCAACUCUCGGACCGCCAGCAUUAUGAAAACACCAUGUAUUUCUUUGUUUGUGAACUUGAUUGCCUCUUUACGAGGUUAUUAAAAUUUGAAAACAACUUUUGACAACGGAUCUCUUGGCUCUC